CCGCCAUCCUGGUUCUGGAGCAAGCGGGGAAAGACCACCCCGGGGUAUGGGUAGGAAGGUGAAGGUGCCGCCCCAGGAAGUGAGGAAAGCUGGUGAGACUGAGGCGCCUUCCAGGACCUAUGCCUAUUUACUGUCUCUGGAGCUCAUUGAGGCAGAUGGGUUGGUUGGUUGGUUUUAAAGUUUGUCUUUUGAUCAGAUGAAGUUAAAAUUUUGUUAUUCCAAUGGGUUAAAAAAAAAAAAAAGAUUUAAGAAUAUCACAGCUUCCCAGAGUUUCAACGAAGGAACACUGGAGGCUGAUCUCCACAAGUCAAGCUUCCCUGCCAAGUUUCCUGGAUGAGAAACCAACUGAGGAGAAGGAAGCUGUCUUGGCAAAUUAGUGGCAGACCUAUGUUUAGGUCAAAUUACGGAGAACUGAUUGGAGAGGGACCAGGCGGAUGAAAACAGGAAGGAAGUGAGGGCCCUGUGGGGCUUUAAAGAAACCUCUCAGCUCCACGUUAUGUGAGUUUCUUGAGGGCUGAGUCUGUCUUCUUGCUUUAUCUCCAGCUCCUGGCAGGUAGAGCUUUGAGGACCUGGAGAAACGUGAAGCUUUGCUGUGGCAGCCUGCUACACACAGAUGUAACCUGAGAGGACCUUGCUUCCGCUGUACUUCAUAUCUCAGGGCUUCUCUGCCACUGCAGUCUGGACCCCUGCAAGAAGCCACAGCCCAUUCGAACAUAAACCUGGAAGUACAAAGGAAUUAACACGUCCUUGGACAACCUCUAACCAAAGCGAACAGAAGCUAGUGGAGAAAUGUUCCACUCUUCCGUGGGCAGUUACGAGGUACAUUUUGUACAGCACCUAAGAUGACAGAACCCUGGCUGCCCGUGGUAGUGUCCAACUUAAUCAGCUCAGUAAUCCACCCUUGGAUUGCCUUUUUCUUUCCUGCCUUGACUGUUUGACUCUUCCUAGUCCUCCAGUCCUGUUCCUUGGGAUUCAUUCCCCAAAUAAACUUCCUGAUACAAA